rnacentral:rRNA from 1 species
UGGGGAAUUUUGGACAAUGGGCGAAAGCCUGAUCCAGCAAUGCCGCGUGUGUGAAGAAGGCCUCCGGGUUGUAAAGCACUUUUGUCCGGAAAGAAAUGGCUCUGGUUAAUACCUGGGGUCGAUGACGGUACUGGAAGAAUAAGGACCGGCUAACUACGUGCCAGCAGCCGCGGUAAUACGUAGGGUCCAAGCGUUAAUCGGAAUUACGGGGCGUAAAGCGUGCGCAGGCGGUGGUGCAAGACCGAUGUGAAAUCCCCGAGCUUAACUUGGGAAUUGCAUUGGUGACUUCACGGCUAGAGUGUGUCAGAGGGGGGUAGAAAUCCACGUGUAGCAGUGAAAUGCGUAGAGAUGUGGAGGAAUACCGAUGGCGAAGGCCGCCCCCUGGGAUAACACUGACGCUCAUGCACGAAAGCGUGGGGAGCAAACAGG